GGUGCAGCCCCGCCCUAAUUUUAGGCAAGGCGUUUGGAAAAAUCGGUUGGAAGCUAGGCAGCUAGGUGGAGCUAGGAGGCUAGGUGGUCUUUUUAUUUUUUUUAUUUUUUUAACAUUUAAAUUCUAAAUUAAAACUUAAAUAAAUUAACUUCAGGUUCCCGUGUCGACGAGCUCAUCCCCUAUUAACCUAAUUUUCUAAAGAUUCGAAGUUUUUGCAAUUCUGUACAAUUCCAUCUCAUCUUCAUUGGCUGUCUCGCGUCUCGAAUCCUUUGUUGGGCAUCGUCUCUCGACUUCUUUACUAGGCAAAUCAUCUUGCCUUUCCUGAUUUCCACAAUCUCCACCUAUCCUAUCACCAGAUUUCCACGGUCCACCUCUCUCAUUUGAGUCAGUUCCACGCUCUCCAUGGCUUGCAGUUGCAGAUGGCGGGCACUGUAUCAUCCGGAGCAUCUAAUCCAAUGUUAUCCACCCAAUCAGAUAAUCUAUUAAAGUGUGCUUCAGAUGAUGUGGGAUGGGAGUAUGGGGUGUUAGUGGAUCCUUCAAACUCGGAUAAGGUGCAAUGUAAGUUUUGUAAAAAAAUACUCAGUGGUGGCAUUUUAGAAUGAAAUAAAACAUAGCCCAUGUCAAGGGAAAUGUAGCUAGAUAAACAAAGUAUUCGGAUGAAGAUAAAGCAAAAUGUAAAGCUGCAUUAGAAGAAACAAAAAAGAAGAAGAAAGAAAGAAACAAUCACUAUGAGGAAGUGAGGGAAAAGGUUCAACUUCCACAUACUGAAGAAAAUGAAGAUAUUGAAGUUGUUGGGUCAAGGAAAAGGUCGCGAACUCUUGGGCCUAUUGAUAGGUUUGCAUCCUCCAUCAAUCUUGGUCCUUCAAAAUCAAAUGAUGGAAGUAAGAGUAAGCGAUAACAAAAUCUCCAUGAUGCAAUUUGAAAAGAUUUCAGGUGGAUCAAUAUCUGGCUCGAUAAGUCUACGAAGCCGAUAUUCCUUUUCAUGCCAUUGAUAACGACAACUUCAAAAGCUUUGUGGAAGUGGUUGGUCAAUUUGGCAUGGGUUACCAACCUUUAAGUCAAUAUGAUUUAAGGGAGCCUUUAUUGAAAGAAGAGGUGAAGGGGGUAAAACAAUUUCUUAAGAAGUAUGAAGAAGAAUGUGCUUUGAAUGGUUGCUCAAUUAUGAUCGAUGCUUGAAGAGAUUGAAAAAGAAGAAGUAUAAUGAAUUUGUGUGUGAAUUGCAAACAAGGCACAAUAUUUCUCUCUUCCAAGAAAUAGUCUAAUGAAGCACACACCAGGGAAUACAUCUUUGAAUAUGUUAACAAGUGUAUCGAAGAAGUUGGUUCACAAAAUGUAGUUCAAGUGGUAAUUGACAAUUCUUCUAACAAUAUGAUGGAAAAGAGGCCAUACAUGUUUUGGACAUCAUGUGCCACUCACACGUUGAACCUCAUGCUUCAAUGAAUUGGUAACCUACCUAGGUUCAAAUGAGUCAUUGAAAAGGCAAAGACUUUUACUAUCUUUAUUUAUGCUCAUCAUAAAACAUUAGCAUUGAUGAGAAAGUAUACAAAGAAAAGAGACAUAGUGAGGCUUGAAGUCACAAGAUUUCCAGCUGCUUUCCCAACUUUGCAAAGCUUGGUUGAUAAGAAAAAAAGACUCGAGGAUUAUGGUUGCUAGUGAUGAAUGGGAACAAUGCAAACAUUCCAAGAGUAUAAAAGGGAAAACGGCAUAUGCUACCAUGGUGAGUGCAUAUUUUUGGAAUAGGGUCUCACUUUGUUUGAGAGUGUUUGAACUGUUGUUUAAGGUUCUUCAACUUGUGGAUGGGGAUAAAAAGCCAUGAAUGGGGAUUUUUGUACGAGGAGCUACAAAAAUCGAGGAAUGAGAUCAAAGAGGCAUUGAAAAAUAAUGAGGCCGAUUAUAGACCAAUCAUACAAUUUAGGGAGUUUUAACGAAAAGCUCGCGGUACUGUUCACUUUUAUG